rnacentral:rRNA from 1 species
UACGUAGGGGGCUAGCGUUGUCCGGAUUUAUUGGGCGUAAAGAGCGUGUAGGCGGCCAGAUAGGUCCGUUGUGAAAACUCGAGGCUCAACCUCGAGACGCCGAUGGAAACCAUUUGGCUAGAGUCCGGAAGAGGAGAGUGGAAUUCCUGGUGUAGCGGUGAAAUGCGCAGAUAUCAGGAGGAACACCAACGGCGAAGGCAGCCCGCUGGGACGGUACUGACGCUAAGGCGCGAAAGCGUGGGGAGCGAACAGG